AGCUUUUUGCAGUGGCAGUAUUGUAAUCAGUGAGGUCUAUCUGAGGCACGAUUAUCACUAAUUGAAGA
rnacentral:snRNA from 1 species